CAGGUAGUCUCUGAUCCAAGCAGAAACACCUAAUACACUGAUGGACAUCAACCAGAAGAGGAGGUUGAGGGCGUAGAGCAGGCAGCGCAGGCACCUCACCGAGUCCUCCCUGGCCAUGGCGAGCUCCCGCGGGAGACAGCCCCAUUCCUUCACCACAUCCUCGCUGCCGAGGCCGGGCAGCCAACGUUUUGCUCCGGCGAGGACUCAUCGGGGCCGGGCAGCGCAGCACGGAGCCGCGGCGCCCAUCCACGCCGGGCACUGACGGAAAGCUCCGGGCGGCC
rnacentral:lncRNA from 1 species